AGGCCGAGGCCAGGAUCGGGCCCACAUUUUUCUGUUGGGUAUGGACAGGAGGGAGGCUUGCUGAGCUAGGUUCGGGGAAGCGGGAAGUUGGAACCCAACCACUGUGAGGCGUGGCUAACUGCGUCACGUUGCUCAAUCGACUAUCCUCAGACACCCGCCAUCCCUUCUGUCCUGUUCCCCUCACCUUCCUUCGCGGCAUUGCCGGCGGCUGCGGCCCGACAGUUCCGAUUCGGGCAGCGGCGGCAGCAGCAGCAGGAACGGUGGCUCCGGCGGGCUCCGUGGCGGCCUCUGUAGCAGUCCCAAUCCUGCGGACGAUCCCAAGUGCCUCCUGCUUCACAGCGUCUAGACCCUUCUGCGCAGGCGCCGCGGGCUGAGGCGCUUUUUCCUUCACUUCCGGCUGGGGCUCGCGUCACCUGACGCUGCGGGCCGGAGAGGGUGCUGGGAGGUUCGCUCCUCUUGCUGAGGCUAGUGAGCGCCAUUUUGGAGUUGGGCAGAGAGGUAGCCCAGUGGUAGAAAUCCAGGCCAGCCAUUUUUAGUUAGGGGGUUUGGUACAUUUUGCGGACGUGGGCAGCCAUUCUUGUUUGGGGCUGAAGCCUGACGGUAGAAGCUAACGGUUCUCAUCUUUACCUUGGGCAAAAUUUCCCUUCCCGGUCGUUUUAAUUUCUGAAGUCGAGGAAGGAAACCCCCAGAAUCCAUCAGGUGGCUGAAGUUUAACCCCUUCGUUGCCUAAUUGGCUAAAGGGCAUUCCUGUUUAUCGUAUAAACUCAAAGUUGGGAAGGGAUAUUUUGCCCAAGAAAUUGUAUUUCAAAAGCCAUCCUGUGUCUCAACGUGAUGGGAAUGGGGGCGUGUAAAAGGAACUAAGAAGGGUAGCGUCCAUCCUCAGGAAGUUUGUUGUCUGGUAGAGGAGACAUUGUCCUUGCCCGUAGAGAGCAGCAAGUCCUUCACGUCGCGGAAGGAGGCAAAACCAUUCUCCAGCAGCGGUAGCUCCAAAGAGUUCCCAGUUUCGCUCUAGGGGUGCCACCAGAACUGGUAUUCCGAUAUUUUGAUGCCUCUGAUUCUACAUUUACCCUUCACCUGUUUUAAAAUUUCUGCCAUAUCCUCUAUUGUUAAGGACAAGGAAUCGUCAUUUUAAAAGGGCUGCAAGGGAUCCCUGGGUGGCGCAGCGGUUUGGCGCCUGCCUUUGGCCCAGGGCGCAAUCCUGGAGACCCGAGGUUGAAUCCCACGUCGGGCUACCGGUGCAUGGAGCCUGCUUCUCCCUCUGCCUAUGUCUCUGCCUCUCUCUCUCUCUCUCUCUCUGUGUGACUAUCAUAAAUAAAUAAAAAUUAAAAAAAAAAAGGGCUGCAAUUUCACAGCAAAGUUUGAUUCCCACUGAGAGGAAACAAAGAGUGAAGGAGUGAACAUCAUCUGGUCUGAAAGAAGGAAAAGAAGCCCGUGACACAAUUCUGACCCCAUUUCCUCAGGAUCUCAUUCCCUGAGGAGCCAGGCCUGACAUUUCAGACAGAGGCUGAGGAAAGGAGCUAGGUCAACUCGAGUGUCUUCUGCCAACAACUUAUCAGGAAGAACCAUGACUCUCUGGACUCAGAAGAUCCAAUUCUUCAGCUGUGCCACCUCCACUGGCUCUUCUUCCACUGUCCAGGUCCUCAAUUCCUGGCACCUUGACUUUUGAACAAAAUUUAAACACCAUGUCCUUGAGACUACCCACAUUACCUUUCUCUCCAAGGAAGACUGCAUCUGUCUAAUACUAUGCCAUUUUAUCUUUAGAAUAACUCUGUGAGGUUAGUGGAAGUGGUCCUUGCAUAGAGAAAGGAAGCCACCUGCCCAAAGUAUUUUAAGAUUCCUUAUUCCAGGGCUUUUACCUCUCACACACACUGUAUAGCUUAACAAAUAAAAAUUAUCCAUCACCUCCUAAGAAUGCCUGAGAAUUUACAUGGUAAGGGGUCGUAAAAUGGAAUAUGUUGUCAGGAAAGAACAGAUUUCAAGAGAUCAACUAGUCAUUUUUUGGCUUUCAGGUAGGCCAAUGGUCUAGAAGCUGAGUGUUGGUUAGGAAAGUACUUGAAUUUGGAGUCAAAAGACCUCAGAUGUAAGUCCUGGGUCUGCCAUUUACUGAAUGGAUGAUUUGGAGCAAGUCACCUAACACUUAGCCUUCUAUAAAAUAGGGACAAUAAGUCUGUGGGCUUUUUUGUUUUUUGUUUUUAUUUUACAUGCCUAUUGUGAAAAUUAAGUGAGAUGAUGUAUGUGAAGCUAUAAAGUUCUAGGCAAGUGUUAAUUUUAAUGUCAGCUGAAUUUGCAUCUUUGGAGACUGUUUAUGUAAAAUAUAAAUAGUAAUAUCUGUGUUCAUAACAAAGUUUUAUAAAAAUAGGAGUUCCGGUCUGGUGUCAGGCUGCCUGAAUAAUCUUGGGCAUGCUAUUUCUUUCUGAUACCUCAUUAAAGUGGAAUAAUACCCAUCUCAUAGAUGUGGUCAUGAGCAUUAAAUGAAUGAAUGUAUACACAGUACUUAACAUGUAGUUGGCAUAGAGAAAGAAACUCAAUGAAUGUUAGCUGCUACCAUUACCGAUUUUAUUAAUGGAGAGGUGGGGCAGGGCGGUCCAGUAAGAUCUGAUAGAGAUCUGAGCUAGAAAUCAAAAAGACUCACCUUUUUGGGUCUCAGUUUUUCUACUUGCUCUAUAACAAAAAUCUAUGGUUUUCUUCUUCCAGAUUGUCAUGAGAAUUAAAAAAAAAAGUAUAUGCAGACUUUGAACUAAUUGGACUUGAGGAACAUUAUAAAUUGCAAGAUUUUUUGUUUUAAGAAACUAAGUUUGUAAAGACUCUUGACUUUUUUUUUUUUUUAAGAUGUUAUUUAUUUAUUUG